GAUGAACGCUGACAGAAUGCUUAACACAUGCGAGUCUUUGGCGAAGCUGUGCUUGCACCGCCUAGCCAAGGCGGACGGGUGAGUAACGCGUAAGGAACUUGCCCUGCAGUCAGGGAUAACAGACGGAAACGACUGAUAAGACCUGGUAAAGUCAGGCGGACUCAUGUCCAGCCUGAUGAAAAGAGAUGCUGCAGGAGAGCCUUGCGUCCUAUUAGCUUGUUGGUGGGGUAACGGCCCACCAAGGCGAUGAUAGGUAGCCGGCCUGAGAGGGUGGACGGCCACAAGGGGACUGAGAUACGGCCCUGACUCCUACGGGAGGCAGCAGUGGGGAAUAUUGGACAAUGGGGGCAACCCUGAUCCAGCAAUUCUGUGUGCACGAUGAAGGUUUUCGGAUUGUAAAGUGCUUUCAGCAGGGAAGAAAAAAAUGACGGUACCUGCAGAAGAAGCGACGGCUAAAUACGUG
rnacentral:rRNA from 1 species